AAAGUAACCGGUCUGCUUUUAAUAAAAGUGGUAUCUUGGUGUGUAUUUAGCAAUGAUGUCCUUUGAAGUGUUUUUUACUUUAUUGUAAUAAAGCAUAUUCAGGACUUUUACUUUGAGAAAAUUAGAGUGUUUCUAGCAGGCUAACGCUUUGAAUACUGCAGCAUGGAAUAAUAAGAUAGGAUUUUAGUUCUACAUUAUUGGUUUUAAGAGCUAAAUUAAUGAUUGAUAGGGACAGUUGGGGGCAUUUGUAUUUAACUGUCAGAGGUGAAAUUCUUAGAUUUGUUAAAGACAAACUACUGCGAAAGCAUUUGCCAAAGAUGUUUUCAUUAAUCAAGAACGAAAGUUAGGGGAUCGAAGACGAUCAGAUACCGUCGUAGUCCUAACCAUAAACUA
rnacentral:rRNA from 1 species